GUGCCAGCAGCCGCGGUAAUACGUAGGGUGCGAGCGUUGUCCGGAAUUACUGGGCGUAAAGGGCUCGUAGGUGGUUUGUCGCGUCGUCUGUGAAAUUCUGGGGCUUAACUCCGGGCGUGCAGGCGAUACGGGCAUAACUUGAGUGCUGUAGGGGUAACUGGAAUUCCUGGUGUAGCGGUGAAAUGCGCAGAUAUCAGGAGGAACACCGAUGGCGAAGGCAGGUUACUGGGCAGUUACUGACGCUGAGGAGCGAAAGCAUGGGUAGCGAACAGGAUUAGAUACCCUGGUAGUCC
rnacentral:rRNA from 1 species